UACAUAUCCAGAGCAGUAAUGACAUCAUACAGUUUAAAGCCAGCUAGCCUAAUCAGAAGCUUAAACUGUUUAUUUAUGUGUUCUGUUAUUUUCACUCCGACAGUUUAUUCUCAGUCUUCAGAUGAUCUGAGUCUGUGCUGACAAAUGAACUGUUAAUGGCAGAUGCAUGGUGUGUAGUUGAUGACUGUGGUUCUGCUGACUGCUGCAGAUUAUCCCCCCAGUUUUAAGGGCAAUAAAUCACCACUUUCCUGACACCUGUUUUUCUUUUUUAAGAGGAUUUUUUUGAGGGGCAGUUGGAUCAGAGAAACAGCAAAUUAUCACUGUUCUAUUCAGAACAUGAUCUGCAGCCAAUUAACUAAUGCAUUACUGACUGCAGAGGAUAACACUGAUGCAAAUUGAUGGAGAGACAAAAAAUAAAUAAAACAAUAUGGUAAAACAAUAAUGGAGGAGGGGGAGGAAGAGGAAGAGGACUGGAGGACAGCAAAGUGGCACAGUCCUCUUCUCUUUGACCAGCAGUGAGAAACAUAUGUGGGAAAUGUGAUAUUAUAUAUUAAAGGAACUAUUUGUAAGUUUUGCUAUGAUGAGCAAAACUUAGCUAACGUUGGCAUUAACAGAUGUUUACUUAUAAGUCUAGAGGAAACGUUGUGAACUCAGCAUCAAACUUCAUUCCUUUACUAACCAAGAGUUGUCCCCCAGGGAUGGAAUGCUACCCUCUUGUUUUGCUUCUAUUUUUAUUACUUCUUUUCUCCUACUGAAGUUAGCAUGCUAACCAGCUAGCUCUGGUCUGGCUGGCCCCUCACUUUCUGAUACCUAGUCACUGCAGCGCCAUCUUCCCUGAAGAAGUACCUGCUCAGAGGACCUAUUAUAACCUGUUGUACAGUAAAUGCAACAAUGGCAGAAGCUCUCAGUAAUACUGUCUUGACCCCUCAGACUGAUGCAGAGCCAUCUCCAGGAAUGAGACGUUGCUCCUCCUCUGCUGCAACUAGCACUGCUGCAACCAACACUGCCGCCACAUCUACGCCUGCUAUGGAUGCUGUGAUCACCCCACCCACCACUGGAUGGUCUCGUGCUGCCAGAGUUGUUCGAGGUAGGGCCAGAUGCAGAAGAGGAAGAGGUCUCAGCCCUCAUCCUCAAGACACAUCGCACCCCUUGCCCCCCAGCAGCAACAAGCUGCACUAUUUCAUUGAGGGAUGGAAUGUGGAAAAAAGUGAUGCUGGCACAGCAGACAGGAGAAAGUGUGCCCUUUGCCACAGGAAAACACCCAUGGGAACUUAAGAGCUGUGAUGCGCCCCUGUGUUUUGUUGUAACAGGGACUGUUUCAAUGCCUGGCACACACAGAAAGGGCUAUAAAGAACCAUGCCCCUGAAAUGUUAUUUUGUAGAUAGUUAUUUAUAUAUUUGUUCAUUUAUGUGCACUUUCAAAAUUUUUGGUAUUUUUGUAUAUAGUUAAAACGAGUGCAAUUACUGUUUUGGCACCAUUGGUGAAUAAAAAUUCCUUGUUUUGAAUUGA